UCCUUGUAGAUUUAAAAUCUAAAUUACAGAAAGGGUGAAAUGCGGUGACUGGGCUGGCCAAGGCCCUGACUGUGCACUAAAUCUGCAAGCGUGGGCCUGGCUUUUGUGCAGGGGGCUCUGCAAGUGCCAAGGUCACUGCUAAUAAAUCUGACUGGAGGACCAGGAGAAUUUUAUUUAACUUACUGCUAACAGCAGGCUCCUUUUUAACUAUCUUUUAUUUUUUUUUCCCCUUGCUCCCUUCUGCUGAUUCAUGCUCCUGCUUCUUCGGCACAGGGAGAUGCCAGCAUUCCUAAAGUGACAGACAGUCGCACAGCUUGCCAGCCGCCGAGCUGCCACGUUUCCAGGCUCGGGGACUCCUCCAGGGUGAAGGAGGAAAGAAGUGAGGAGGACACAGAGAAAUCCUUCCUUUGCCUCCUCGGUUUUUUUAGUGACUGUUUCUACUGUGGCAGUACCAAAAGUGCUGCGUAAAGUGACAGGAGGACUGUUACAGGCUGCGGCAGGCUCAGGAACCAGUUAUUUCAUGUCCUCUCUUUAGAGAGGAGGAAAGGCGAAUCCCAGAGCGAUAUUGUCGAUUUUGGCUGCAGCUCCUCGCCGGGCAGCCGGGCAGGUGCCACACACACAGCAGGCGCCUGGAACUCAUCAAAUCAAUUAGCUCCUUCGGCUGUGGGAGGAGUCAUCAGCCGGAGACAAAUUAAAGGAAUGUCCAGUAAAAUAUUCUGUUCUGAGAGGAGCUGUCCUAUUUUUUCAUAUAACGACAGGCUCCAAAAUCUGUGCACAGCUCAGCUCAUUAUUAGAACUAAUUGGUGCCGGGCGUUCUGUCCUCUCUGAUAGGGCUAACCAUGGGGGUGAAAUUUUCUGAGUUAAUGAGGCAGAGGAUGGAUUAAGAACUUUCCAAGUGCCGUUCAUAUCUCAGCCUAAUUGGAAGGGGUAGAUCAGUUGGCUGUUUUGAAUGGCUACAAAGGAAAGCCGUGUUUUGGGGGGAAAAAGCACGUGCACAAACGCCUUCCCUGCCGCCGGGCGCUGGGAAUCCCUGAUUUCAGUGUGGCAGAGCUGCAGCAUUUGAGGGCAGGGCCUUCCCCAGCCCCGUGAGCCUGAGCAGGGGUGAAAUGGGAUUUAUUCCGUGCGUGCAGCACUCCGUGUUCCUCCUGUGCAAGGCUCUGUGUGCAGAGAGCAAUUAGUGCAGAUCUCCUCAGGCCGGGGAGCUGCCGGCACAGCAAGGGCUGCUCUGGGUGUGGGCAUCCUCCUGAUGGAGAUCCACGUCCCCCAGACCGUCAUGCCCCCUUCCACAGUCCCAUUCCAAUUGUUGGUUUACACCUCUUUUGCGCUGUUCUGAAGAGUAGAUUUGUGACACCCAUUUUUUCUGGCCCGGAAAUUUAAUUUUUCUGUGUGAUUUAGAACUCUUC
rnacentral:lncRNA from 1 species